GAAGAGUUUCCAUUAUAACGCUCAAGGUAUUGGCCCGCGUUUCUACAUUUUCCUGUUUUUGAACGAAUAUCGGUCUUUUUUCGUUUAUCUGUGCAACGGUGACCGCUCGCGGAUGCCAUUACGGAUCUGCGAGAGCCUGUGAGUGGAAUAACAAGCAAGAAAAUCGCCGAGAAGCUUAAAAUCCCGCCGGGAGAGCAAGCGCAUAGCAACACAAAACCCGAAGGGUUGAAGAAGGAGUUGAGGAAGAGAAAUACAUCAAUUUCCUUUGGUUCCUCUGUUUUCCGGAAGUCACUGUUCUCGUUCUGUGUUCUCUCGUCUCUCUGCUGUUCUUGAUCGCUUCAACCAAGGUAUUAUGAGCAUCGUGCAACGGGAGUACUUCGUUGUAGAUGAAGUGUACAAGUCUCUGAGCCAAGCAAGAGCGAGAGGUUCGUGUGUGAAGUUAAAUUGCACCAGAAGAAACAAGUCAAGUAGCAUAUCGAGUAAAAUACAUAAGUUAAGUAACAUAAGUUAAAUUUCAUCAUCAUCAACUUCCUUGCCAGAUCAUCCUUGUGACUUUCACUCGUAAAACAAAACUAUUAAUUCAAGAGAUAAAGAAAAAAACGGAAAAAAGACAAUCAAGAAUACUCGGAAGAAAUUGGUGAAAAUCGGGAAAAGCAUAAUAGUGAAAAGCCAAUAAGGAUAAACAAAGAUAUUGGAAGAUAUCCCAAUUUUCAUCGGAAACUACUCGCGAAUUCGAUUUUUCUCAACUACUCAAGUCGCCAUACAAAAAAGCGAAGGUUUAUUUUCUUCGUCUCUUGAUCCUUAAAAUAACGAAGACAUCAUGAAGCUACUUCCAGAAUCUUCGGGUUUUGAGGCCAUAAACAGCGCCUUGAGUUUUGACACCGUUGACGGCUGCAUCAUGGGCAG